CGCGUAGGCGGCUGUGUAAGUCACCUGUGAAAUUCCGGGGCUCAACUCCGGGGCGGCAGGUGAGACUGCAUAGCUGGAGCUCGGUAGAGGCGAGUGGAAUUCCCGGUGUAGCGGUGGAAUGCGUAGAUAUCGGGAAGAACACCAGUGGCGAAGGCGGCUCGCUGGACCGAUGCUGACGCUGAGGCGCGAAAGCGUGGGGAGCAAACAGGAUUAGAUACCCUGGUAGUCCACGCCGUAAACGAUGGGUACUAGGCGUCGGGGGGAGCGACCCCUUCGGUGCCGUCGCUAACGCAGUAAGUACCCCGCCUGGGGAGUACGGCCGCAAGGCUGAA
rnacentral:rRNA from 1 species